rnacentral:rRNA from 1 species
UACGGGGGGGGCAAGCGUUGUUCGGAAUUACUGGGCGUAAAGGGCUCGUAGGCGGCCAACUAAGUCAGACGUGAAAUCCCUCGGCUUAACCGGGGAACUGCGUCCGAUACUGGAUGGCUUGAGUUCGGGAGAGGGAUGCGGAAUUCCAGGUGUAGCGGUGAAAUGCGUAGAUAUCUGGAGGAACACCGGUGGCGAAGGCGGCAUUCUGGACCGACAUUGACGCUGAGGAGCGAAAGCCAGGGGAGCAAACGGG